UACCAUUCCACUAAAUCUACUUUUCUAUUCUCACUUUUUUUAUAUAAUUACAUCUUGUCACAACCACCUUGACCUCCUUCAUAUGUCCUAUAACCUCUUUACCCUUUGUUCUUUCAACCUCUUCAAAUUUCUAAUCAUUUAUGGCUGACACUCCUUCUUACCAUUGUUACUUCGAUUUUUCGAAUUUCAUUACACAAACCCACAUCUUUUCUCCCUCAAGAUCCUUUCCCUUUUUCACUCUGAUUCCUCUGUAAAUUAGAAUCAAUACUCUUGUAAAUUCUUUGUCGCCAUGAUAAAUUUAAGUUUUAUAAUAUGAUGAUUGUGACAAUGACGAUGAGCGUGUAGUAAGGCGGUGACGUUGAAGAUGCUUCUGCUGCUUAACAUGCCACUGCAUCAGCAGUUGUUUGUACUCAACGGAAUGGUAGACUUUGUAAGACACACGGGAGGACAAGUGGAGGCCUUGACUCCCCCAACUUUAAAAAAAAAUAGUACCAUAGCCUCACUGUCAUUGAAGUCUUCAAUCAUAUCAAUUAAGGUGUAAUAGGUAGGAAUGGCUUGAUUAGAAUAGAAGAGGAGCAUGCAAGUGGGAGGAAACAUGAAGAAACAAAGGAGAAAAGCAUUUCGAAGUGUGUAUGCGCAUAACCUCUUGUGCGUAUGCACAAGUACCAGCGCGUGACUUCAUUAAAAAGUCACGUGACUCGCGAAUUGGAGGCUUUGGAGGCCCAAAUCUGAUGGCCUAGAGCUCAUAUGGAGGGGGCAACACUUGAGGAAAGAUACCAUAUCAUUAGUAGUAGGAUUAGGUAGUUUUAAGAGGCUUUAGGUUUUAGUUUCUCUUAGUUUUUCUCUCAACUUUCUUAAGAUUUUUAUUAGGGUUUAUGUUGAAAAGUGCUAUUUCCAUUUCGAUCUUGAAUUCUA